AGAGCACGUUUAUCUUAGCUUAAUUUUGAUUUUAUCAUUUAAAAAAAAGAACAAAACGGUCAUUAAGGUAAGACCCUUCACUUAAUUAAGCAGUCAAAACAAAAGCAUUGGAGAGAAGAGAGGUGGUGUCUCAAGGUUUCGUCUUUUUCUCUCUUUUCCUUCUUUCUCUCUUCCUUCUCUCGUCUCCUUGGCAACGAAAAUAGCGAUAUUUCUCCCGGUCGGUGGCUCUUCUCAACGAAUCGGCGUCUCUCGAAGUAAAACGGCGUCCCCUCUAUCGGUUGCUCUUCUCGACGAAGGAUAACAGCGAGAUCUCUCUCGUGGAGGCUCUCGGAAACGAAGGAAAACAGUGAUUCGAAAGGUAAAGAUGAGUUCAUAUGUUUUAAUGUUUGAAUAUUUCAAUUAUGCAUGUCUUUGAUUGUGCUCUUUCAUCGUGAAUCUUAAGAAGUCCAGUCCUCUGAUUUGUUUUGAUAUUUUUUUUCUGUUUUUGUGUCUUGCGAGUGAUUGAGAAAGAGGCGCGAUCAAGGAUAAACCUUUCUCUUUGUCAGACAAAACUCCACACUUCUUGUUCAUAAAGACAUAGUGAAGCAGGAGGCUGAGUAAUGGCGAUCGAGAGUAUAGUAAAAGAAGAUUCCAGAAAAUGGAUAGAGAAAUUAUAGCAAGAGUGGAAGAAGACGAUCAUAGUGCUCUUGUGUUUGAAAUUCAUGUUUAUUCUCUGAGUUUCUUCAUCGUCUUCUCCUCUUAUUUUUUUUCUCUCUCUCACGUUAAUAAACAGAGAAAAUUUAUUAUUCUAAGAGCAUGAUUAUCGGCUGGGACAUUUUUUGGUCCUUAAA